AAGUAUUAAGUGAUCCACCUGGGGAGACGUUCGCAAGAAUGAACUCAAAGAAUUGACGGGGGUCCGCACAAGCGUUGGAGCAUGUGGUUUAAUUCGAUAUUACGCGAGGAACCUUACCUGGGUACUAUUAUGUUGAAAAAAUUAAGAAAUUAAUUAUUCUUUCGAGACAACAUACAAGGUGCUGCAUGGCUGUCGUCAGCUCGUGCCGUGAGGUGUUGGGUUAAGUCUCCUAACGAGCGCAACCCUUAUAUUUAGUUGCCAACACAUAAUGGUGGGAACUCUAAAUAAACUGCCUACAAAAGUAGAGAGGAAGGAGGGGAUGAGGUCAAGUCAUCAUGGCCCUUACAUCCAGGGCUACACACGUGCUACAAUGGUAUAUACAGAGAGAAGCUACUUGGUAACAAGAUGCUAAUCUUUAAAAUAUAUCUCAGUUCGAAUUGAGGUCUGCAACUCGACCUCAUGAAGUCGGAAUCGCUAGUAAUCGCGCAUCAGCAAUGGCGCGGUGAAUACGUACUCGGACCUUGUACACACCGCCCGUCAAGCCAUGGAAGUUAAUAAAAUCUAAAGAUAGUAACCAAAAGGAGCUAUUAAGGAUUAGGUUAAUAACUGGGGCUAAGUCGUAACAGGUAACCAGGGCGAAUUCCGCACACUGCGCCGUACUAGUGAUCCGGCUC
rnacentral:rRNA from 1 species